UACGUAGGGUGCAAGCGUUGUCCGGAAUUAUUGGGCGUAAAGAGCUCGUAGGCGGUUUGUCGCGUCGAAUGUGAAAACCCGGGGCUCAACCCCGGGCCUGCAGUCGAUACGGGCAGACUAGAGUGCUGUAGGGGAGACUGGAAUUCCUGGUGUAGCGGUGAAAUGCGCAGAUAUCAGGAGGAACACCGGUGGCGAAGGCGGGUCUCUGGGCAGUAACUGACGCUGAGGAGCGAAAGCGUGGGGAGCAAACAGG
rnacentral:rRNA from 1 species